rnacentral:lncRNA from 1 species
ACUAUUUUUCGCAGUCAACGGGAACGUUAAUUUGGGACCUAAUUGAUUUUCAGGAAACCAGGUAACCGAUAUUAUACUGCCGCUAGGGAAAUGGACUACUUACAGAUAAUUAUACACUGAACCAACAAAUUUUCGGGCUUUCCGCAACUAUUCUCACCACAAAUUAUACUUAUUUCCGUAUUAAACUUUCCGAACACAAUAAAAUUUACGUUGGAA